rnacentral:snRNA from 1 species
GUUGUAAAAACGAUAUUUUUCUUU